rnacentral:rRNA from 1 species
UACGAGUGCCCCGAGCGUUAUCCGGAAUCAUUGGGCGUAAAGGGUGUGUAGGUGGCGAUGUUAGUCUUCUGUCAAAUUCUUCGGCUUAACCGGGGGUCUGCAGAGGAAACGGCAUUGCUUGAGGGUGCGAGGGGUGAAUGGAACUCAUGGAGUAGGGGUGAAAUCCGUUGAUAUCAUGGGGAACACCAAAAGCGAAGGCAAUUCACUGGCGCAUUCCUGACACUGAAACACGAAAGCGUAGGUAGCGAACGGG